UACGUAGGUGGCAAGCGUUGUCCGGAUUUAUUGGGUUUAAAGGGUGCGUAGGCGGUCUUAUAAGUCAGUGGUGAAAUACGGCAGCUCAACUGUCGAGGUGCCAUUGAUACUGUAGGACUUGAGUACAGACGAGGUAGGCGGAAUUGACGGUGUAGCGGUGAAAUGCUUAGAUAUCGUCAAGAACACCAAUUGCGAAGGCAGGUUACUGAGCCACAACUGACGCUGAGGCACGAAAGCGUGGGGAUCAAACAGG
rnacentral:rRNA from 1 species